UGCAGUGUGGCACAGUGGUCUGAGUGUUGGACUAUGCCUCUGGACACCAGGGUUCAAUUCCCAGCUCAGCCA